UGCCAGCAGCCGCGGUAAUACGGAGGGGGUUAGCGUUGUUCGGAAUUACUGGGCGUAAAGCGCACGUAGGCGGAUUGGAAAGUUGGGGGUGAAAUCCCGGGGCUCAACCCCGGAACUGCCUCCAAAACUAUCAGUCUAGAGUACGAUAGAGGGAGGUAGAAUUCAUAGUGUAGCGGUGGAAUGCGUAGAUAUUAUGAAGAAUACCAGUGGCGAAGGCGGCCUCCUGGAUCUGUACUGACACUGAGGUGCGAAAGCGUGGGUAGCGAACAGGAUUAGAUA
rnacentral:rRNA from 1 species